rnacentral:misc_RNA from 1 species
UAUCUUGGAGACAACAAAGAGGUUGUCUUAGAAAAAUGUUUGUUAUUCGACUAGUUGUUGCUUACUUGUUAUUGUUACACAAUCUCCCAAUGCUAUUUCUCACUCCAUUUAAUUUGCGAUCAUUAUUGGAAGUGUAAAUAUAUUUUUAUUUUAACACAAAGAUGAAGUGUAAAUGGGAUAUAUACUUUUUUUUUCCUUAUUUCGAUGCAAUGGG